rnacentral:rRNA from 1 species
CCGAAUGAGUUUCUGACCUAUCAACUCGAGACGGCGGGGUAGAGGCCCGCCGCGGUAACGACGGGUAACGGGGAAUCAGGGUUCGAUUCCGGAGAGGGAGCCCGAGAAACGGCUACCACUUCCAAGGAAGGCAGCAGGCGCGCAACUUACCCUAAUCUCGAUUCGAGGAGGUAGUGACAAGAAAUACCGAUGCGGGACCCUACGGGUGCCGCGUUCGGAAUGAGUACGAUUCGAACCACCUAACGAGGAACGAUCGGAGGGCAAGUCUGGUGCCAGCAGCCGCGGUAAUUCCAGCUCCAAUAGCGUACGUUAAAGUUGCUGCAGUUAAAAAGCUCGUAGUUGAACGUUCGGGUUCCGCGGGACGGGGCCGCCCCGCGAGGGACGGCGCCGCCCCGGGGCUCGUGAUAUCUCAUCU